UUGCUUGUUUUGGUAGUAUAUACACUAGAAUUGGAAUAAUACAAAGUAGAUUAGCAGGGACCCUGAACAAGGAUAACAUCCAAACUCAUUAAGCAUUACAUAUUUUU
ensembl:snRNA U6 U6 spliceosomal RNA